ACUUUUAAAGGAUAAAAGUAACCCAAUGGCUUUAGGCGCCACACUCCUUGGUAGCAAAUCCAAGUAAAAGUU
rnacentral:tRNA from 1 species